rnacentral:lncRNA from 1 species
GUCCCAAUGCAAUUAAUUGUACCAAGAAUCUUGCCGCUCAUAUAAGGGCUUCAGCAGCCGUUUGAAUCCUCUGAAGGACACGUGUAAGGCUCUAGUUCAUUUUGUUAGGCAAAACAGCAAGCAACGAUGCUGCAUGAGUAAGCGAUACACGUGAUACAUCACGUGUUUGACUUAUUCAUUCAACUGACAUUAUGGAAAUGUCAUACACCUCUCAGAAGUACUACGACCGACUAGACAUGAUGCUCUCACUGACAUAUCACAAACUUCCUGAGAAUAUAAGUGACUUGUCAUUCUCAGUUAUAAAAACAGAUUUGAGCUUCAUUCUUCAACAAAUAGACUAAGAAAUAAAGAAUUAAGAGAAAAUAUAUCAAUAAAUUAUAUCCAUCAAAUUUUGAUUGUAAUAUAUCAAUAUUUCAAAAAGAAAAAUUCUUGCAUUAAUUAUUAUACUUAAAAACCUUCUUUAUUUUAGACCAUAAUUUUCUCAACUAGAUUCUACACGUAAAUUCAUGAUAUUCAGUGGGUUACAACUAGAAUUAGGGAUGGUAAAAACCGGGUCCGGGUCUGGGUUUAGCCUUCCUGAAUUCGGACCCGGAUGUCAUUUUCUUUUUCUCCGGAUCCGGAUUUUAACCCGGAUUUUUUCAUCUCGAGUCCGGAUCCGGGUUUAACCCGCAAAAAUUCGGGUUUCCAAAUUUCGGGUUUUGAACCCGGAUCAAUGAAUCAGUUUUUAAAAAAUAAAAAAUUAAUACAUUUCCAACCAAUAACACAUCGAGAUUCCAGAUUGUAAAUCAUCAAAUAAAAAAAAUUAAAUCACUACAAAUAUAAGCCCAUUAAAGCAUAAACCAUUUCGAAUCUUUUUACUAUAAGAACAAUGUUUCUAGCAUAGAUAAAAUCAAAUAACAAAGUAUAAUGAAAUCAAAACGAAAGGAUAGCAAACUGGAUCGUUGUUUGGAGUUGCAAGAACCGGAGGCUGCGACGGUCGUGAACCCGAGAGUACGAGUUGCGACGGUGGCGAACCGCGAACCCGAGCUUGUGAUGGUAGCCAACUGCGAACCCGAGCUUGCGACGGUAAAAACCUGGAUUGUUGUUUGGAACUGCAAGAAGCCGAGGCUGCGACGGUCGUGAAUGGUGAACCCAAGAGUACGAGUUGCGACAGACGACGGUGGCGAACCCAAGCUUCUGAGUUCUGACGGCAGUGAAUCGCGAAGGCUGCAAGAAGCUAAGAACCCAAGCGGCCAAGCCUGUGAGUUGUGAGUUGUGAGUUGUGACUGACUGACAAUAGCAACCUGGAUAAAAUUAAGGUUUUUUUGUUUAUGUUUGUAUUUAUAUUAAUCAAUAAAAUUAAUUAAAAAAUAAUAUUAAAAUAUGAUAUCUGGGUCCGGGUUUCAGAUAUUCAGGUUAGCCUAAACCUGGAACCGGACCCGGAUAUAUCCGGGUUAUAAAAAUCCAUUCCGAAUUCGGAUUAUUUUGCACUGCGGUACGGGUUCAACCCGGCCCGGAUUAUCCGGGUUCG